rnacentral:piRNA from 1 species
UAGGAUCAUGUGGUUCUGACUCAGCCUUACC